rnacentral:rRNA from 1 species
GAUGAACGCUGGCGGCGUGCCUAACACAUGCAAGUCGAACGAACCUUGGGGAACAGAUUACUUCGGUUUGAAGUUCCCCGCUGGUUAGUGGCGGACGGGUGAGUAACGCGUGGGUAACCUGCCGUAUGCAGGGGGAUAACAGUUAGAAAUGACUGCUAAUACCGCAUAAGCGCACAGUAUCGCAUGAUACAGUGUGAAAAACGAUAGUGGCAUACGAUGGACCCGCGUCUGAUUAGCUAGUUGGCGGGGUAACGGCCCACCAAGGCGACGAUCAGUAGCCUGGCCUGAGAGGGUCAACGGCCACAUUGGAACGAGACACGGUCCAAACUCCUACGGGAGGCAGCAGUGGGGGAUAUUGCACAAUGGGGGAAACCCUGAUGCAGCGACGCCGCGUGAGUGAAGAAGUAUUUCGUAUGUAAAUCGCUCUAUCAGCAGGAAAGAUAAUGACGGUACCUGACUGAAGAAGCACCGGUAAAUACGUGCCAGCAGCCGCGGUAAUACGUAUGGUGCAAGCGUUAUCCGGAUUUACUGGGUGUAAAGGGAGCGCAGACGGCAUGGCAAGCCAGAUGUGCAAAGGUGGGGGCUCAACCCCCAAGCUGCAUACUGGAACUGUCAAGCUAGAGUAUCGGAGAGGUAAGUGGAAUUCCUAGUGUAGCGGUGAAAUGCGUAGAUAUUAGGAGGAACACCAAUGCGAAGGCGGCUUACUGGACGAUAACUGACCUUGAGGC